rnacentral:snRNA from 1 species
GUGCUCGCUUCGGCAGCACACAUACUAAAAGCGGGACAAUACAGAGAAGAUUAGCAUGGCCCCUGUGCAGGGAUGACACCCAAAUUCAUGAAGCAUUCCAUAUUUUA